GCCCGGGUAGCUCAGUUGGUCAGAGCGUGGGACUUUUAACGACUUGUUGUUCUCAGCAAGAUCCGACAUCCCAAUGUCGAGGGUUCGAGCCCCUCUUCGGGCG